AUUGAACGCUGGCGGCAAGCCUAACACAUGCAAGUCGAACGAGUGGCGGACGGGUGAGUAAUGACUGGGAAACUGCCUGAUGGAGGGGGAUAACUACUGGAAACGGUAGCUAAAACCGCAUACCAUCGGAUGUGCCCAGAAGGGAUUAGCAAGUAGGUGGGGAAAAGGCUCACAUAGGCGACGAUCCCUAGCUGGUCUGAGAGGAUGACAAGCCACACUGGAGCUGGGACACGGUCCAGACUCCUACGGGAGGCAGCAGUAGGGAAUAUUGCACAAUGGGCGCAAGCCUGAUGCAGCCAUGCCGCGUGUAUGAAGAAGGCCUUCGGGUUGUAAAGUGCUUUCAGCGGGGAGGCGUUACCCGCAGAAGAAGCACCGGCUAAAUCCGUGCCAGCAGCCGCGGUAAUAC
rnacentral:rRNA from 1 species